GAUUCCAUGCUGGAAUCGAACCAGCGACUUCCUCUUUACAAGACAGACGCCCUGCCAUUAAACAGAUGAGGU